AGAACGAACGCUGGCGGCAUGCCUAACACAUGCAAGUCGAACGCUUUUGGGGCUUCGGUCCCAAAGGAGUGGCGCACGGGUGAGUAGCGCGUGGGAACCUGCCCUGUUGUGGGGGAUAACCGAGGGAAACUUCGGCUAAUACCGCAUGCGCCCGGGGAAACCCGGGGAAAGAUUUAUCGCAGCAGGAGGGGCCCGCGUCGGAUUAGGUAGUUGGUAGGGUAACGGCCUACCAAGCCUUUGAUCCGUAGCUGGUCUGAGAGGAUGAUCAGCCACACUGGGACUGAGACACGGCCCAGACUCCUACGGGAGGCAGCAGUGGGGAAUAUUGGACAAUGGGCGCAAGCCUGAUCCAGCAAUGCCGCGUGAGUGAUGAAGGCCUUAGGGUUGUAAAGCUCUUUCGCCCGCGACGAUGAUGACGGUAGCGGGAGAAGAGCCCCGGCUAACUUCGUGCCAGCAGCCGC
rnacentral:rRNA from 1 species